GUGCUCCCUUUGGCAGCACAUAUACUAGAAUUAGAACAACACAGAGAUGAGCAUGGUCGCUGUGCAAGAAUGACAUGUAAAUUUGUGAAGUGUCCUGUAUUUUU